rnacentral:rRNA from 1 species
AACGUAGGAGACAAACGUUAUCCGGAGUUACUGGGCGUAAAGGGCGUGCAGGUGGUCUGUUAAGUCUGGCGUGAAAGCUCCUGGCUAAACCGGGAGAGGUCGUUGGAUACUGGCGGACUAGAGGACGGUAGAGGCGUGUGGAAUUCCGGGUGUAGUGGUGAAAUGCGUAGAGAUCCGGAGGAACACCAGUGGCGAAGGCGGCUUUCUGGGCCUUACCUGACGCUGACAGCGCGAAAGCUAGGGGAGCGAACGGG